GAUGAACGCUGGCGGCGUGCCUAAUACAUGCAAGUCGAGCGAACAGACGAGGAGCUUGCUCCUCUGACGUUAGCGGCGGACGGGUGAGUAACACGUGGAUAACCUACCUAUAAGACUGGGAUAACUGCGGGAAACCGGAGCUAAUACCGGAUAAUAUAUUGAACCGCAUGGUUCAAUAGUGAAAGACGGUUUUGCUGUCACUUAUAGAUGGAUCCGCGCCGCAUUAGCUAGUUGGUAAGGUAACGGCUUACCAAGGCGACGAUGCGUAGACGACCUGAGAGGGUGAUCGGCCACACUGGAACUGAGACACGGUCCAGACUCCUACGGGAGGCAGCAGUAGGGAAUCUUCCGCAAUGGGCGAAAGCCUGACGGAGCAACGCCGCGUGAGUGAUGAAGGUCUUCGGAUCGUAAAACUCUGUUAUUAGGGAAGAACAAAUGUGUAAGUAACUAUGCACGUCUUGACGGUACCUAAUCAGAAAGCCACGGCUAACUACGUG
rnacentral:rRNA from 1 species